CAAGUACUUAAUGUCAAGUAUGUGAUUUCAAUAUACAAUAAGGUUAUUUCUUCCCCUCUUUGCAGGGAUAUCAUUGAUAAAUGGCCUGGCUCAAAUCCUGUAAUGAUGUUCAUAAAAAUUCCAGUCCAGGAUGAGCUCAUCCAUCUGUUUUUUAAGCAAGAAGUAAAAAUUUCAGUAGAUCAUUUAUUUGAAGAUACUCUCAUUAUAGUCAUGGCAUCAUUUACAUUGUUCAAGAUCCAAGCAAUGCUAAGGAAUUACAUAAAUAAGGAUCACUACUAUGUAAGUAUUAAAACGUAAUAGCUAAUUUUGCUCUGCAAUGAUAAUUUGGCCAUUAGUGAUAUGAAUUGAUAGGGAAUACAAUUUAUUUCUGUUGAAUAUACUUACUGUCACUGUUAGCACAUAGCUUUGCA
rnacentral:lncRNA from 1 species